rnacentral:rRNA from 1 species
CGGGAAAAGCUCAAAUUUAAAAUCUGGUAGUCUAUGGCUGCCCGAGUUGUAAUCUAGAGAAGUGUUAUCCGCGUUGGACCGUGUACAAGUCUCCUGGAAUGGAGCGUCAUAGAGGGUGAGAAUCCCGUCUUUGACACGGACUACCAGUGCUUUGUGAUGCGCUCUCAAA